GAUGAACGCUAGCGGCAGGCCUAACACAUGCAAGUCGAGGGAGAAGCCCUUUCGGGGGCAGAAACCGGCGCACGGGUGCGUAACGCGUAUGCAACCUACCUUUCACAGGGGGAUAGCCCGAAGAAAUUUGGAUUAAUACCCCAUAAUAUUAUUGGAUGGCAUCAUUUGAUAAUUAAAACUGCGGUGGUGAAGGAUGGGCAUGCGUCCUAUUAGCUAGUUGGAGUGGUAACGGCACCCCAAGGCUACGAUAGGUAGGGGUCCUGAGAGGGAGAUCCCCCACACUGGUACUGAGACAGGGACCAGACUCCUACGGGAGGCAGCAGUGAGGAAUAUUGGUCAAUGGUCGGAAGACUGAACCAGCCAUGCCGCGUGCAGGAAGAAUGCCUUAUGGGUUGUAAACUGCUUUUAUAUGGGAAGAAUAAGGUGUACGUGUACAUUGAUGACGGUACCAUAUGAAUAAGCAUCGGCUAACUCCGUG
rnacentral:rRNA from 1 species